UACGGAGGAUGCGAGCGUUAUCCGGAUUUAUUGGGUUUAAAGGGUGCGCAGGCGGAAAGUGCAAGUCAGCGGUCAAACGACGGGGCUCAACCCCGUCUCGCCGUUGAAACUGGCGGACUUGAGUGGGCGAGAAGUGUGCGGAAUGCGUGGUGUAGCGGUGAAAUGCAUAGAUAUCACGCAGAACCCCGAUUGCGAAGGCAGCAUACCGGCGCUCAACUGACGCUCAUGCACGAAAGCGUGGGUAUCGAACAGG
rnacentral:rRNA from 1 species